UAGCUGGCCAUUCCGUUCUUUGUAUUUUUUUGUAUUGAAAUCACUUAUCAGGAUGCCAAUUACAUGAGUUCAUAACAUGCAAAGAUGAUAGAGCUACAGAGACUAAGACUAAGAACUGGGAAAAGUUAUGGGCGAUCCAGGCUCCCAACAAGAUGAAAAUUGUACUCUGGCGGAUGAUACACGAUUACCUAGUGGGAGAACAAUUACAACACAGACACAUCUCGACUGAGGAUAACUGUGUGUUCUGUGGUCGUGAAUCAGCCCACGACAUGGAGCACACGGAAUGGAGUUGAGAAAUAAAUGUCCAUUCGAGGACAUUGCAUCAGUAUUAACAAUUUACCAUGCUGAACAAAGCUCCUCUAUUGAAACCGAACACGGUAGCUGUGGUACUGUCCCAUUUAUACAAGAGACUAUAUGAAAAUUAAUCAUAUUCCCAGAAAUCUGAUUUUGUAAUACUUCAUACCCCUUUUAUGCCAGGCUUGAAUGCUUUCUGAAAGUUCUGCCUUAGUACUAGCCAUUCCGAGUUAUGUAGAAUAGUAUUACACUACAUCCUUGUCAGUCACAAGCUUGUCUUGGACAGGCUCCACCUGAACCCGAACAAGCUGCAACACCUAUUUAACUAUAGUUGAAGAGUCAUGUAGCUGUUUUCCUUGUAAAUGGUUUCUGAUUACCUGAAGCAAUUGCUUCACUCUUAGUUCAUGUUCACUGCAUAUUUUUCACUAGCAUAACAUGCCCUAUAUAGGAUGCUCCUGUUUGAUAAAUAACACUAGAUGACUCAGCUACAUAUAUUUAAACAAAAAUGGGAAUAUAAUAAUACCAUUCUCAUGAUUUUAUGAUAUUUUCAUGUCGUAGGUGUAUCUUAUUUUAUCUGGUUCAGUAACUCUUAUUCUCUUGCUUUUGUGCAUGUGGUCUGAUGUUCGUGCUAUGAAGACCACCACCAACAUUAGCAGGCCAAUGGUUUUGAGUCACUCAAAGAAAUUGUCCAGGUCGAGGAAAUCACAGAACAAGGUUGUUCCUUGCGCUAACCCAACGACCGAAGAGCAGCAGGAGAGAUAAACAUUGAGUUCCAAACUUCUUUAUCCUUUCAAGUUCCACCAAACAAAGAAGUAAAGAUGAACCAGCUUAGCUCUCGGGCGUCAUCUUACAUGAUUUGAAUGAAACCAGGCCUUUUUACCUGAUUCUUUGGAGAAGUUUGGACCCAUGAAAAUCCAUAUCUAAAAAACUAGAUUUGAAGCUCCCCUUGUGCACCACUCUCCCUAAAACAAACUGCACUUCUGUAUAUAGCUGAAUAUCUUUAUUGUGGUGUCAUGUCCAUGUAAUGUACUUGCUUACGAAUGUUUCCUUCAAUUAGUGUCAUCUACCAGAUCAUAUCCGGAAUUGUUGUACUGCAAGAAUGCUUUUUAAUACACAUUUUUUAUGUCC